rnacentral:rRNA from 1 species
CGUAGGGGCAAGCGUUAUCCGGAUUUACUGGGUGUAAAGGGAGCGUAGACGGUUAAGCAAGUCAGAAGUGAAAGGCUGGGGCUCAACCCCGGGACUGCUUUUGAAACUGUUUAACUAGAGUGCUGGAGAGGUAAGCGGAAUUCCUAGUGUAGCGGUGAAAUGCGUAGAUAUUAGGAGGAACACCAGUGGCGAAGGCGGCUUACUGGACAGUAACUGACGUUGAGGCUCGAAAGCGUGGGGGAGCAAACAGGAUU